CUGGGCAGUGUUUCCCGAUAGAGUGAGAGAUGGGUACGGGGGUGCUCGAGAGACUGCUCGUUGUAGGAUUCUACUGGAGGGCCCGGUUUGUCGGGUUUGGUAUUUUGGGGAGCGCUUCUUGCGGCAGACCCUGGGCUUACUGGAGCAGACAGUUCCAGCGCCUCCUCCUACCCACGUGAGGCAUACCAAGAGGUACACCUUAGAGGAGAUGGUGGACUAUACGAUUGGCUAGGACUCUGAGCCCUUUAGAGACGAGGGCGACUACACGGAGUUCAUCCAGGCCUAUCUGAUGCGAUCUUUGACCGGUGCUCGCCGAGCUGAGAGAGAGAGGCCUACGGCGCUAGUGGCAGGAGCAGGAGCAUCGAGGGCACCUCAAGCCCGUGGGAGGAAUGGGUCCUGGAGAGGACAGGGAGUCGGGUGGCCAGAGCUGCCCACCACCAUGACAUGCCGAGGAUAGGGUGGGAAGACUUACCAGAUACCCAUCGCUCCUCCUCCGGCUGAUCAUGAGCUUGUCGGGGUUCAGGGCUCUACCCCAGCUUCCAUCGAGUAUGCUAGACAGUCUCUGGAGCUGACAGCUUCCGUGAUGGGAAUGCUGCAGCGGAGCAUCGACCUGCUCACCAUCUAUGGGAUCCCGGCCCCAUUCCAGAUUCCGACCGCGGGAGGUGCUCCAGCUGGACCUUCUGUACCUACUUGAG